AUCGCUUCUCGGCCUUUUGGCUAAGAUCAAGUGAAGUAUUAUGAGGAUAUUAUAAUUACAGAAAUGUUAUUCUUUUUUUAAAGAUUAUAUUAUUAUUUUUAAAGUUUUAUUUAUUUAAAUAAUCUCUACACUGAACAUGGGGCUCGAACUCAGGACCCUGAGAUCAAGAGUUGCAUGCUAUUCUGACUGAGACAGCCAGGUACCCCUA
rnacentral:snRNA from 1 species